AACGAACGCUGGCGGCGUGCCUAACACAUGCAAGUCGAACGAAACCUUCCGGUCUUUUGGCGCACGGGUGCGUAACGCGUGGGGACCUACCCUUGGGUUCGGAAUACCUCCCCGAAAGGGGUCCUAAUACCAGAUAGUCUCUUAUGGGCAAGGAUUUAUCGCCUUUGGGUGGGCCCGCGUUGGAUUAGCCAGUUGGUAGGGUAAAAGCAUACCAAGGGGACGAUCCAUAGCUGGUAUGAUAGGAUGAUCAUCAACGAUGGGAAUGAGACACGGCCCAGACUCCUACGGGAGGGAGCAGAGGAGAAUAUUGGAGACUGGGGGAAAGUGUGAUACAGCCAUGCGCCGUGAGUGAUGAAGGCGUUAGGGUUGCACAGCUGUUUUAGCCGGGAUGAUAAUGACAGUACCGGGAGAAUAAGCGCCGGCUAACUACGUG
rnacentral:rRNA from 1 species